ACGCUAGCGGCAGGCCUAAUACAUGCAAGUCGAGGGGUAACAGGAAGUGCUUGCACUUCGCUGACGACCGGCGCACGGGUGAGUAUCGCGUAUACAAUCUGCCUCAUACUAGAGGAUAGCCCGAAGAAAUUUGGAUUAAUACUCUAUAGUAUCUUAAAAAGGCAUCUUUUUAAGAUUAAAGGUUACGGUAUGAGAUGAGUAUGCGUUCUAUUAGUUUGUAGGUGUGGUAACGGCACACCUAGACUGCGAUAGAUAGGGGCCCUGAGAGGGGGACCCCCCACACUGGUACUGAGACACGGACCAGACUCCUACGGGAGGCAGCAGUAAGGAAUAUUGGUCAAUGGACGAAAGUCUGAACCAGCCAUGCCGCGUGCAGGAUGACGGCCCUAUGGGUUGUAAACUGCUUUUAUACAGGAAGAAAAACUUUCUCGUGAGAGAGCUUGACGGUACUGUAAGAAUAAGGAUCGGC
rnacentral:rRNA from 1 species